UUUGUUUCACAGGUCAAGCCACAAUGUUACCCAGCUAUUCUUCUUACAACUGGUUUAUAUGAUCCACGUGUUCUCUACUCGGAACCAGCAAAAUUUGUAGCCAAGUUGAGGGAUAUGAAGACUGAUGACAAUAUGCUAUUGUUCAAAUGUGAAUGCAGUGCUGGGCACUUUUCAAAAUCAGGAAGGUUUGAAAAGCUCAAGGAAGUUGCCUUCACGUAUGCUUUCAUUUUGAAGGCUUUAAGCAUGAUUCCCUCACCAGGCUCCAAGACCAACUGAUAAAGUUACAUUCGCCAUUCGGGGAUACUAUCUUAGGGGGUGUAUUCCAUCAUAACUUUCAUAGAAUUUUAAAGACUUUUAUAAACUUUAAAAGUUUGGAGGUAUUCAAUUCAAACUUUUAGAAAGUAUUUAAAAGUCAUGCGGUAUUCGAUCAA